UUCACCCGAAGGUAGUGCGCUAACCCGCAAGGGAGGCAGCCGGCCACGGUAGGGUCAGCGACUGGGGUGAAGUCGUAACAAGGUAGCCGUAGGUGAACCUGCAGAAGGAUCA
rnacentral:rRNA from 1 species